rnacentral:tRNA from 1 species
AUUAGCUACUUCUCAAAUUUCGAACUUGAAUCACAAAGCUUUAAGCGUAGU